AUUAGAGCCAUAUCACCCUGCAGUUCUCGCUUGGUUUCCUACUGAUGCUAAGCAGGGUUGAGUCUGGCCAGUACCUGGAUGGGAGACCUCAUAUGGAAAGCUAAGGUUGUUGCUGGAA
rnacentral:rRNA from 1 species